UACGUAGGGUGCAAGCGUUGUCCGGAAUUAUUGGGCGUAAAGAGCUCGUAGGCGGUUUGUCGCGUCUUAUGUGAAAUCCCGGGGCUCAACCCCGGGCCUGCAUUCGAUACGGGCAGACUAGAGUUCGGUAGGGGAGACUGGAAUUCCUGGUGUAGCGGUGAAAUGCGCAGAUAUCAGGAGGAACACCGGUGGCGAAGGCGGGUCUCUGGGCCGUAACUGACGCUGAGGAGCGAAAGCGUGGGGAGCGAACAGG
rnacentral:rRNA from 1 species